AGAGUAGGCGUGGCGCGUCAAGUGCCUUGGGAUGGGAGGUCGCCCAAGGACGAAGGGAAUCUCUUCCCGCGGUGCCACUCCGCAGCCGCU
rnacentral:ncRNA from 1 species